rnacentral:rRNA from 1 species
AGAGCGAACGCUGGCGGCAGGCCUAACACAUGCAAGUCGAACGGACCCUUCGGGGUUAGUGGCGGACGGGUGAGUAACACGUGGGAACGUGCCUUUUGGUUCGGAAUAGCUCCUGGAAACGGGUGGUAAUGCCGAAUGUGCCCUUCGGGGGAAAGAUUUAUCGCCAUUAGAGCGGCCCGCGUCUGAUUAGCUAGUUGGUAAGGUAAUGGCUUACCAAGGCGACGAUCAGUAGCUGGUCUGAGAGGAUGACCAGCCACAUUGGGACUGAGACACGGCCCAGACUCCUACGGGAGGCAGCAGUGGGGAAUAUUGCACAAUGGGCGAAAGCCUGAUGCAGCGACGCCGCGUGGGGGAUGGCGGUCUUCGGAUUGUAAACCCUUUCAGUAGGACGAAGCGCAAGUGACGGUACUGCAGAAGAAGCACGGCUAACACGUGCCAGUAGCCGC